UUUUGUACAAUUUUAUUAGAAUCAAUCACUACUCACUAGUACAGUCUUUUAGUCUGCAAAAGCAUCUUUGUUGAUUGCCACGAAAGCCUUUUAGUUGGCAACGCCCGCCAAGGUAGCCUCUACCUUCACACUCUGUAUUACAUGGUCCAUUAGCAAGACAGUCUGCAUUGGAGAGAUUAACGUAACACGUCUUUCUUUUUUGUGCUACCGUUAUUGAACCCAUUUCUGUCAUAAAACAAUAUAACACAAUUCAAAAGUAAAACAGAAGUACAAUCACAUAAUGAAAAGGAAAUCUAGUUAUGAUAUGUAUAGGUUAGAUAAAUAUAAAUAGAAGAGAGUUAUGAUAUUUUUAAGCAUCACCUACCAGUCACAACUAGAAGCAGAAGGAGGACAAAAAAGGUGAAAACGAAAGAAGCAGCACGAGUCAUCCUUGAGUUGAAAAUGAAAAUGAUUGAGAAUGAGACUUGAUAAG
rnacentral:lncRNA from 1 species